GUGACGUCAGCGCAUGGCGGCCGUGACAAAAUGAAAAUGGACGAAAACGAUGUAAAUAUUGGAAACAAGUGGCGAUGAUACCGUUUUGUGGGAGUAUUUAUGCAAAUCAAAACGACUAGAUUGAAGAAAAAACAUAUCUGAGUGAAUUGACAGAAGUUUGGUUGCCUGACAUUACGAAUUAUUGAAAAAAAACGAGCCGAAGCGAGAGCAGAAACAGAACAUGAUGUAGUUGUUCAAUGCUACACCUCAUCAACAAAAACAUAUUUACGAAUACCAGAUAAUGGAACUUAUAGUUAUUUUGCAACUAAAUAUGACCCAAGUUGUCACCCAGACGGUCUAACCUGUGGCACAAGAAUAUUUUCGACAUUCGAAAUAGUUAUAUAUGGGAGCAUUAUUUACAUGUUUCCCGAUUUAACUCGUUCAGAUACAGACUGUGAUGGCCCAGAAAUUUUUAGAGCGGGUAACAAUUGUGACCCUAACUGCGCUGUGACAGAUGAUGGUUCAUUUCAAAUAGAUGUACGUGGUAGCGGUACGAAACUAGGAAUAUAUCCUAUAUCAGAUGGAAAUAUUGUCUACUCGAAUAACGACCAGUUAUUAACCGGGGCUUGUCCUGGAUGUAUAGCAAAUUGUGCUAGUGUGGGUCUCAAAAAAUUAUAUCUUGCUGAAAACACAAGUAUCAACUAUUCUGGUACAACGGAACCAGUAUGCCUUUGAAGAUCCUGUCAAAGAAUUAUAUUGGUUGAUGUAUAUAGACCAUGGCAA